UUCCUAUUCCUAUUCCUAUUCCUAGUAGAAAAAAGCAGGCGAUGAAUGAAUAGAGAAUCUCGCAGAUGAAGUAAACGAGGAGGAGACAAAUAUGUCUCUCUCUCUCUCUCUCUCUCUCUCUCUCCGGAUAGAGAGAAAACUCCACCCACCAGGCGCCAGUCCUCCGCAAGCAAACAGAAUCCUCUUCAGUGUUUGUGUGAGUACGUGUACGCUCAGAUUUCAACUGACAUCUGGGCCUUUGCGACUCCAAUUUCCACUUCAGAGGUUUCUAUUUUCUACGGAGUUUCCUGGGUUUUGAAUUACAAGAGUUUGGAAGGUAAUAUGGAAGACAAUCUAUUUUCUGGAAUUGGCAGUGAGGCACAAUUUGAAGGCAAAGUUGUUCAGACAUUUCAGAAAAACUUUGUGCAAGUUCAAAAAAUUUUGGAUCAAAACAAGCUGUUAAUCAACAAGAUUAACCAGAACCACGAGUCCAAGAUCCCGGAUAAUUUGACUCGAAAUGUGGGUUUAAUUCGAGAGCUCAACAACAAUUUUAGAACGGUGGUCGAUCUCUACGUGGGUCUUUCCAACUCUUUCCCCAAAUCCAUGGAGGAGGGCUCGUCCGAGGCCGAUUCAACAAAGUCUGGCGGAAGAGUUGGACAGAAGAGAAUUAGGUCCAACAAUUGACGGAAAUUCGAAUUUAGAUUUGUAGUGAAUUUUACAAUUGUUCUUAACGACGAAGAAUAGUCUAUACCAGCAUUUUAUGUUGUCAAAUCUGUCUUUGUCAAAUCUUACUGUUUAUAGCCUAUAGGUGCUAAAGAUUUUCGUAAGGCCCGGUUUCUGGCAUACUAUUCUAUUUCUCAGA